rnacentral:lncRNA from 1 species
CUCCCCAUCCACCCCGACGCCAACCAGAAACUCACACUUAUUACGAUACUCAGUCUGCAGGGAGAGAGAGCUGCACCUUACCCUGGCUGCCCAGCGCUUGGGCCUGGAAACCCUGAUUUCCCCACAGGGGCUGGCAGUCAAACAAGAGGAACAGCUGACAACUAUGUGAUGUUACCAGAAGAAAACACAAAGCAGGGAGAUCAACAGGAAGGGUGAGCAAAAGCAAAGUUUUUCAAAACCCAGGAUAGGGGUUUGUGGCCACCGAAGUCUAGUCUGACCUGCUGGGGUGAUGGCCUGACCCCCUCCAGCGGGCAGCAGGCCUUGUUGUGCUUGUGCCUCUGCUCGAGCAGCCAGGGCAGCAAGGCACGGUUGGUGCUCCCGAUUUCCCUGUAAGAGGAGCAGAUCGGUGGUUGGACUCCACCUACUGCCCCCGACCCAUGCCAGGCCACUCCCCAAAUGUCCAGGCUCCUGACCCCUCCUUUGGGAUGUCAUUGUGCCCACUGUGACGUGGGUGUCUUGCUGGCUAGCUCCCAAAGGGGCC